GGGGACAGCUCAGCGGAAGGGCACGUGCUUGGCAUGCACGAGGUCCCGGGUUCAAUCCCCAGUGUCUCCA
rnacentral:tRNA from 1 species